GAUGAACGCUGGCGGCGUGCCUAAUACAUGCAAGUCGAGCGAACGGACGAUAAGCUUUCUUCUCUGAUGUUAUCGGCUGACGUGUGAUUAACACGUGUAUAACCUACCUUUAAUACUUGUAUAACUUCGGGAAACCUUAUCUACUACCGUAUGAUAUUUUGAACCGCAUGGUUCAAAAGUUAAAUACGUUCUUGCUGUCUCUUAUAGAUGGUUCCGCGCUGCAUUAGCUAGUUGGUAAGGUAACGGCUUACCAAGGCAACGAUGCAUAGCCGACCUGAGAGGGUGAUCGGACACACGGGAACUGAGAAAGGGAAAAGAGUACGACGGGAGGAAGAAGUAGGGAAUAUUCCGAAAUGGGGGAAAGCAUGAAGGAGCAAAGACGCGGGAGUGAUGAAGGUCUUAGGAUCGUAAAACUAUGUUAUUAGGGAAGAAAAGAUGUGUAAGUAAAUGUGCACAUAGUGACGGUAACGAAUCAGAAAGCAACGGCUAACUACGUG
rnacentral:rRNA from 1 species